rnacentral:rRNA from 1 species
UGUCAGCCGCCGCGGUAAUACAGAGACUGCAAGCGUUAUUCGGAUUCACUGGGCGUAAAGGGUGCGCAGGCGGCCAAGUGUGUCAGAUGUGAAAUCCCGAGGCUCAACCUCGGAACUGCGUCUGAAACUACUUGGCUAGAGUAUUGGAGAGGGUAACGGAAUUCACGGUGUAGCAGUGAAAUGCGUAGAUAUCGUGAGGAACACCAGAGGCGAAGGCGGUUACCUGGACAAUUACUGACGCUCAGGCACGAAAGCGUGGGGAGCAAAAGGGAUUAGAUACCCCUGUAGUCCACGCCCUAAACGGUGCACACUAGGUCUUGGCGGAUUCGAUCCCACCAGGGCCCAAGCUAACGCGUUAAGUGUGCCGCCUGAGGACUACGGUCGCAAGACUAAAACUCAAAGGAAUUGACGG